rnacentral:rRNA from 1 species
GGUUGCGAUCAUACCAGCACUAAUGCACUGGAUCCCAUCAGAACUCUGCAGUUAAGCGUGCUUGGGCGAGAGUAGUACUGGGAUGGGUGACCCCCUGGGAAGUCCUCGUGUUGCAACCC